GAUGAACGCUGGCGGCGUGCCUAAUACAUGCGAGUCGAGCGAACGGACGAGAAGCUUGCUUCUCUGAUGUUAGCGGCGGACGGGUGAGUAACACGUGGAUAACCUACCUAUAAGACUGGGAUAACUUCGGGAAACCGUAGCUAAUACCGGAUAAUAUUUUGAACCGCAUGGUUCAAAAGUGAAAGACGGUCUUGCUGUCACUUAUAUAUGGAUCCGCGCUGCAUUAGCUAGUUGGUAAGGUAACGGCUUACCAAGGCAACGAUGCAUAGCCGACCUGAGAGGGUGAUCGGCCACACUGGAACUGAGACACGGUCCAGACUCCUACGGGAGGCAGCAGUAGGGAAUCUUCCGCAAUGGGCGAAAGCCUGACGGAGCAACGCCGCGUGAGUGAUGAAGGUCUUCGGAUCGUAAAACUCUGUUAUUAGGGAAGAACAUAUGUGUAAGUAACUGUGCACAUCUUGACGGUACCUAAUCAGAAAGCCACGGCUAACUACGUG
rnacentral:rRNA from 1 species